ACAACGCAUUGUGCGAAAUAAAAGUGUUAAACAUUUUCACCCGAGUUUAUCCCGAUUUUUGAGGUAAUAGUGCGAAAUAAAUACUUAACUAUAUGUGAAAAAUUGUAUAAGGACAUAAACUACCUACAGUGCAAAAAAAUAGUGGCAAAAAUCGUCCUAUAAUUCUUUUGACAACAGAUAAGAGAACAAAAGUCUUGAUCAAAUUAAAAGCGACGUUGCCGGUUUUCCAAAAAGUUUUAAAAAUC
rnacentral:lncRNA from 1 species